UUUAUGUGUACGCCAAUGUGUACAUUGGAUCUCAGGGGAAACCACUCUGAAAAAUCAAGAUGAGCUUUCUCGGUCAACCCCAAGAGGUAACCUGUGGCCUCCAUGCUAGUAUUCCAGCACCUAACUCACUCAGUCACCAUGGUCGUCUUCUAAUUACUGCGACAUUGAAACCAUGUGACAAACAAGGAUUAUAAAAAUAGAUUUUUACGGCUUAGUUUCAAUAUUGGAUGUAUAUGCAAAUCACCCAGGAAAAGAUCAUGUAACAAAAGAAAUUAUAAAAGUAAAAAAAUGGAAGAAGAAAUGGCUGGAAAAAAUGAUGAUAGAGCAGCUUUUUCUUGUUAGCCACCUCGGAAGAUCAAGACAGCUGGAAAGGGCUAUUGAUAUUGUGGAAGUGUUUUCUUACAGAGGUUGCUUAUCAGACAAAGGCAAUUUAACUACAUCAGAAAGAUAAAAACAGUUGGAAAUGGCUAUUCAUAUUGUGGAAACUUUUCUCACAGAGCUUGAUAAUCAGGCAAAAUGCUGGAACACCCUUGAAAGAGUAUUUGAUGUAUGAUAACAACAAGAGAACCCAAGCAUCAAUUUAUUUUAUACUUCUGGGAAAGAAUGCAUUUGACCCAAUUUUUAAAUAUUUAUUUUUUGUUAUUAAUGUUAAAUUUUCUUCCAAAACACAACUAGAUUUUAAUUCUCUUCAAAUAUGUAUGUAUAAUAUAGCAAGUAAACUGACAUAUAAAUCACUUAGAAUUUGGUCGGAAAUCAUAAAGUAUUUAAUAGGCAUUACUAGAAACCAAAUGUAGAUCAAAUACACCCAGAAUUACAAAAAACCUUGACCUACAUUAAGGUGACUUUCCCUUGCUUAUGAAAUGAAAUACGUUUUAAUAUCCUGCUUUUCUGUGUUCUUAGAGUGAUUCUACCCUACCCUUAUAUCAAAUAUUUCAACUGUCAAGGGUUCUUUAAAGGGUACCCAGGGGGGCCGAAUGGUUAACACGCACACAUUUGAUCAGAAGGUCUGUCAUUGAUUCAAAUAAUUCAAUUUUCAAGGGUUCUUCAAAGUGUACGCAGUUGGGUUGGUUUCGAUUCUGGGGGGUGGGGGUGGAUGGCCGAAUGGUUAGCACGUGCAUGCUGUAUCAUACGGCCUCCUGUCAUUGAGUCAACUGGCAUGGUUUCGAAUCCCCGGUUGUAGACAAGGAGUAGGGUCGCCUGUCCAAUCUUGUGGGUUUUCUCCGGGACCUCCGGUUUCCUCCCACUGCUAAAGACCCCUACGCGCUAGCGAAUUAUUGAAAUAAAAUUAAACCAUAUGUUAGUCCCAAAAUGACCUAGUUUGUGUCGAGUAGACGUUAAACCCCAUUUCUCUCUGUCUCUCUCUCUUUUGAUUCUGGGCUUGUACCCAAUUAUCCCUUGCCAUAUCCAAUACUGAAAAGUGGGAACUAUGCCGGAAAAUCCAGUUGAAAUUUCUCGGCCAACGCCUUAUGCUCACUGAACCACUGUGGCUUAUGACUUGUGAUUGUAUAUAAAUCUUUUGUACAUAUGAUAUUUUUUUAUUUCAAUCCUGUAAUCUUGAUGCUUUGCUUCUUUUAUUUAUAAAAUAUUCAUUUUGUU